rnacentral:rRNA from 1 species
UACAGAGGUCCCAAGCGUUGUUCGGAUUCAUUGGGCGUAAAGGGUGCGUAGGUGGCGUCGUAAGUCGGGUGUGAAAUCUCGGGGCUCAACCCCGAAACUGCACUUGAUACUGCCUUGCUAGAGUACUGGAGAGGAGAUUGGAAUUUACGGUGUAGCAGUGAAAUGCGUAGAUAUCGUAAGGAAGACCAGUGGCGAAGGCGAAUCUCUGGACAGUUACUGACACUGAGGCACGAAGGCCAGGGGAGCAAACGGG